UUUUUAUCAUAUAAUGGCCUUGCUUUCAAGUGUAUUGAAAGAACACAAAUGUUUGAUAUCAUAGAUAGCCAAAUACGCGAUUCAAAUAGUUUUUGACACAAGUGAUACAUUGCAGUUAAGUUAGUACUACAUGGUAAGAUAGGAUCAAGUGUUUGGUUUUGUUGGCAAUUGAUACAUUGUUCUUCCACAAGGAGAGAUUGUGUCCAUCUCUAUCACUGGAUUGGUAGGUCUCAUGGUCUUUGAUGGUUAAAUGAAGCCUCUUGACAACUUCUGCAAGCAUGUAUUCUCCUGUUUAUUUCACCAUGGAUUGGUGACAGUUGAAAUGCAUAGGAGCAGUAUAGAUGAAUGUCCUGAAAUUUAUCAAGUGGCAUAUAUGACUAAACUUUUGAAGAUUCUCUAUGGGCAAUGUAGGAGAUCUAAGUCAGGCUGCUAAACCAACUACAAAAAUAAUAAUAUUUAGGCAAUAUUUCAAGUGAAUGGGUAAGGAAUUGAUAAAAUGGAGAGCUGCACUAUCAUCAUGAACAGGAGGAAAAAGCAUAGACAAUUAAGAAUAUUUGUCUUAGUUCAGAACCAUAAUGUUGGUUCAGAAUCAGUGUUAUGUCAUGCUAUCCAGGUUUUCGCCCCAUGAUACUCGUUUCGAUGGCGAGCGAGUAUGGUGGGUUUCCUGGUAGUGCUAGAACUCGCUUUACUUCUUUCCCUCCCCCUGUCCUUCUCGUUUGAACUGGUUGUAUUUCCGUUCUUUGCAAUGGAAAGGGGUAAAGCCCAGUUCUAAUUUUUUUUAAGAAUAUUUGUCUUAGUUCAGAACAUACAUGAACAUGACUAUAGACACACAAGAUUUAUUUUCCACAAUAUGCACAAUUUAUUUUAAAGAAAUCCAUGUUGCUUUAUAGUAGGAAGAACACACAUGCAACGACAAAAAUACAAAAAGGUAAGAUUCGAGUAACUAUACAGAUAGGCGACACAAUAAAAUGUAAGACAUGUCAACAUAGAGCACUGUGUCCAGGAGCAGUUCUUAGGAAUAGCAGUCAAAUACAUCAUAUAGUAAUGGGAUCCAACACAAUCAACCCAUGGUACCUUUUCUACCUAAAAAGCAUACAAAAAUAUGAUAUAGAUGUUUCUUCUGAUCUUCUCUACCAAAUAUUAUCAGUCUGAUCUUCGUGACUAUGAUCAGUUUAAUAAGAUAUGCAAACCAUAUGAUUACUACGAAAAAGAUGGACACAAAUUUGUGAGCUUCCUUGUGCACAAAUCAGAAUACAUGUGCAAUGAAUGUCAAAAGAAAAUCAAGUUUCCAGAU
rnacentral:lncRNA from 1 species